rnacentral:rRNA from 1 species
AGCGGCGGACGGGUGAGUAACGCGUGGGAACGUGCCCUUUGCUACGGAAUAGCCUCGGGAAACUGAGAGUAAUACCGUAUGUGCCCCCCCGAUCAAAUUCCGUUUGGGCGACGGGAUGGUUGUUCUGUCGGAUGCCUGCGGCAUUUGAUGGGGGGGGAAAGAUUUAUCGGCAAGGGAUCGGCCCGCGUUGGAUUAGGUAGUUGGUGGGGUAAUGGCCUACCAAGCCGACGAUCCAUAGCUGGUUUGAGAGGAUGAUCAGCCACACUGGGACUGAGACACGGCCCAGACUCCUACGGGAGGCAGCAGUGGGGAAUCCUAGACAAUGGGGGAAACCCUGAUCUAGCCAUGCCGCGUGAGCGAUGAAGGCCUUAGGGUUGUAAAGCCCUUUCAGUGGGGAAGAUAAUGACGGUACCCACAGAAGAAGCCCCGGCUAACUCCGUGCCAGCAGCCGCGGUAAUACGGAGGGGGCUAGCGUUGUUCGGAAUUACUGGGCGUAAAGCGCACGUAGGCGGACGGACAAGUCAGAGGUGAAAUCCCGGGGCUCAACCCUGGAACUGCCUUUGAAACUGUCUGUCUUGAGGUCGGGAGAGGUGAGUGGAAUUCCGAGUGUAGAGGUGAAAUUCGUAGAUAUUCGGAGGAACACCGGUGGCGAAGGCGGCUCACUGGCCCGAUACUGACGCUGAGGUGCGAAAGCGUGGGG